rnacentral:misc_RNA from 1 species
UAAUCUCACUACAACCGCUUUUUUGUGGUUGCAUGUGGACUUGGAUGUUGCCGUGUCACAAACGGCUCAUCUGAAAUGCCUGAGUGUACCCCUGCUUUGCGGCGUAUUCGGUGUGAUAAAUCUUCACCGGAGUUGACCCUCAGGGUCACGUCUGCUUGACAUGGCUCUAUGCUUCCAACUGUCCUGACAAGACAAUCUUUGACA